AAGUCCUUAGGGUGAUGCCCAGAAAUGCCCUAAAAAUAGUACAUACAUUACACUUCAAUCCAGUGUCGCCUUGGUGUGGCACGGGCCUCCUGCUCUUCGGCCACUCAAGUUCCGUGCCUGCCUCUCGCUCUCUCCACCCCUCCUGAUCCGAUGACCACAGCUCCGUGUCUGCAUCUCUGAGUCCAGGCUUCCCGUGGCCGACUGGAGACGCUCCUAGGGACAAAGUGAGUUCCCCAGGGAACCGGAGAAGAGAGAGCGAGCCUGCGAGCCUGUACGGGAGCCCGAGAUGCACCCACGCACCAAGGAAGAAACAGUGAGACACUCCCCAAGAUAAAGGGGGAAACUCCAGCGAAGAAGCAGAGACCUGGGCCACAGAGAAGCCUGCGCAGGGAGCCGGAGGCGCACAGAAGGACGGAGGAAUGGAGAGGUUUCCAUUUCUCUUAAAUGGAGACAAAAAAGAAAUAGAAUGGACAAACAAAUAUAGCAAACCUCUGGUUUCUUGUUGUAUUUCAUUAAAUCUUGGGUAACUCUUGGAGAAUAGACCACUGACGU